GUUAACCAACGAAAAAAGACCUACGAAGGUUAACCAGAGCUACGAGUACGAGAACCACGCCCAGCCGCCAUAGUGGAGUCCUACGCCGCCACCGAGAUCCGAGAGGAGCCGCCGCCGCCGAGAUCCGAGAUGAGCUGGCCACCGGACACCAUGACCUCCCUCCCCAGCCGGCCGCCACCACCCCCUCCCCCAGCAGCCAUGUACAGCGGGGCAGCGAUGGGUAUCGGCCUCCCUCCUCCCUUCGCCCAAGGCUAGGAACUCCCCUCCCCUACCCGAUCUCCUCCCUUCGUGCAAGGCCACGAGCUCCCCUCCCCUACCCGAUCUGACGGAGAGAGGGCCAGGUCUUGCCACUCCGGUGUUUGAUGUGGCCAGAUCCGGCCGGGGGAUUCGCCGCAGAGCCUCCAUGUCGGUGGAGCAGCAGCAGCCCGACAGAAGAUCCAGCGCUCAAAUAAGAUUAUGAGGAAGGGCAUCACACUCUCCGGGAGCAAAUAAGAUACCACAUACCGAUCCUGAUUCGGAAUUAUGACAGGGAGUCAGGGACACAAUCAAAUUUAUACCAUCCGUUGUGAUUCAAUUUGACCAUUUCAUUAAAUUUUCCGAAUUGAUCUUAAUUCCUCGGGAAUGAUGUGGUUCUGGAGUCUAUUGUUAAUCUCUUCUGUCGCAGAUGUUUCACAAAUCCAACUACCAUGUUGAUUUUCUGAUCAUUCUUUGGUCUGGAGUCUGGACUAUACAUGAUAUAUGUAUUAUAUCAUCAUCACAAUAUGAUUAUUUUUCUUCUCCUCACAAGGCGCUUCCGAUGCACAGAUGGCGGCAAUGAAGCAGCAGGCUCCGGAGAGCGUGCAG